GAUGAACGCUAGCUACAGGCUUAACACAUGCAAGUCGAGGGGAAACGGCAUCGUAAGCUUGCUUUUGAUGGGCGUCGACCGGCGCACGGGGGAGUAACGCGUAUCCAACCUGCCCAUCACUUGGGAAUAACCUUGCGAAAGUAAGACUAAUGCCCAAUGACAUCCCACGAAGGCAUCCGAAUGGGAUUAAAGAUUUAUCGGUGAUGGAUGGGGAUGCGUCUGAUUAGCUUGUUGGCGGGGUGACGGCCCACCAAGGCAACGAUCAGUAGGGGUUCUGAGAGGAAGGUCCCCGAGAUGGGAACUGAGACACGGUCCAAACUGCGACGGGAGGCAGCAGUGAGGAAUAUUGGUGAAGGGGCGAGAGCCUGAACCAGCCAAGUAGGGUGCAGGAUGACGGCGCUAGGGGUUGUAAACUGCUUGUAGAAGGGAAUAAUGUGGGUAAAGUGUGACUUUUUGCAUGUACCUUAUGAAUAAGGACCGGCUAAUUCCGUG
rnacentral:rRNA from 1 species